rnacentral:rRNA from 1 species
UACAGAGGGGCAAGCGUUGUUCGGAAUUACUGGGCGUAAAGGGCGCGUAGGUGGCCUUCUAAGUUGAACGUGAAAUCCCUGGGCUCAACCCAGGAACUGCGUCCAAGACUGGGAGGCUUGAAUCCGGGAGAGGGAUGCGGAAUUCCAGGUGUAGCGGUGAAAUGACGUAGAUAUCUGGAGGAACACCGGUGGCGAAGGCGGCAUCCUGGACCGAGAUUGACGCUGAGGCGCGAAAGCUAGGGGAGCAAACGGG